rnacentral:rRNA from 1 species
UACGGAGGGUGCAAGCGUUAUCCGGAUUUACUGGGCUUAAAGGGUGUGUAGGCGGACUUUUAAGUCAGCGGUGAAAUCUCCGGGCUCAACCCGGAAACUGCCAUUGAUACUAAAGGUCUUGAAUGUUGUUGAGGUGGGCGGAACGGGUCAUGUAGCGGUGAAAUGCAUAGAUAUGACCCGGAACACCGAUUGCGAAGGCAGCCCACUAAGCAACGAUUGACGCUGAGGCACGAAAGCGUGGGGAUCAAACAGG